rnacentral:lncRNA from 1 species
GGCAAGGGAAUAAUCACUACAUGUUCCUCUUUUAAUCGCCUAUUUCUCGAGUAACAAUUUCUAGUCCGAGCCAAUGCUCCAAAUUACAAACCAAUCACAAACCUUCCUCAACUAUUCACUUUAUAUUAUACUUAUCAACCCAAGCAAGAAAGAUGUAUCAUUAAAUAUGAAUCCAACACAUAUAAGAUUCACGGUCAUACUAGACUACGGUGCAUUGAUAACUGUCACCAUGCCUAUACACCGUACCCCAUAUUGAGCAAGUAGAAAAUAAUACCCUAAUCCUAAUCCGUCAAUCCGAAUUUAGAAAAAACACAUACCUCGAUCCGAAAAUAGAAAUCAAGUCUCUAACACUGCCUUUCCUCUAGAAUCCAACUCCGAAAGAAUGAUAUCUAGGGACAAUUUAGUUCAAUAUUAUCAAUAAUGGCUCAAAGAAAAAAUUCGAUAGCCUAGAAAUGAAUUUCCUAUCAUUCUUCCUAAAAUACCAAAAUCCAAC